GCAGCCGCGGUAAUACGUAGGGUGCGAGCGUUAAUCGGAAUUACUGGGCGUAAAGCGGGCGCAGACGGUUACUUAAGCAGGAUGUGAAAUCCCCGGGCUCAACCUGGGAACUGCGUUCUGAACUGGGUGACUAGAGUGUGUCAGAGGGAGGUAGAAUUCCACGUGUAGCAGUGAAAUGCGUAGAGAUGUGGAGGAAUACCGAUGGCGAAGGCAGCCUCCUGGGAUAACACUGACGUUCAUGCCCGAAAGCGUGGGUAGCAAACAGGAUUAGAUACCCUGGUAGUCCACGCCCUAAACGAUGUCGAUUAGCUGUUGGGCAGCAUGACUGCUUAGUAGCGAAGCUAACGCGUGAAAUCGACCGCCUGGGGAGUACGGUCGCAAGAUUAAAACUCAAAGGAAUUGACGGGGACCCGCACAAGCGGUGGAUGAUGUGGAUUAAUUCGAUGCAACGCGAAAAACCUUACCUACGCUUGACAUGUCCGGAACCCUGAAGAGAUUUGGGGGUGCUCGAAAGAGAGCCGGAACACAGGUGCUGCAUGGCUGUCGUCAGCUCGUGUCGUGAGAUGUUGGGUUAAGUCCCGCAACGAGCGCAACCCUUGUCAUUAGUUGCCAUCAUUUAGUUGGGCACUCUAAUGAGACUGCCGGUGACAAACCGGAGGAAGGUGGGGAUGACGUCAAGUCCUCAUGGCCCUUAUGACCAGGGCUUCACACGUCAUACAAUGGUCGGUACAGAGGGUAGCCAAGCCGCGAGGUGGAGCCAAUCUCACAAAACCGAUCGUAGUCCGGAUUGCACUCUGCAACUCGAGUGCAUGAAGUCGGAAUCGCUAGUAAUCGCAGGUCAGCAUACUGCGGUGAAUACGUUCCCGGGUCUUGUACACACCGCCCGUCACACCAUGGGAGUGGGGGAUACCAGAAGUAGGUAGGGUAACCGCAAGGAGCCCGCUUACCACGGUAUGCUUCAUGACUGGGGUGAAGUCGUAACAAGGUAGCCGUAGGGGAACCUGCGGCUG
rnacentral:rRNA from 1 species